ensembl:miRNA
GAAUGAACACAGGUCAAGGUUCACAGGGGAUCAAGAACAAUUAUUCUUGUAUAAUCUGUUUACUUUGACCUAAAAUAUCAGCUU